UGUGGGAGCGAGCUUGCUCGCGAUGAGGGUGUGUCAGGCACCUAUUUUUAUCUGACACACCGCCAUCGCGAGCAAGCUCGCUCCCACA
rnacentral:misc_RNA from 1 species